GGGCUGCUGGCGCAGUGGUUAGCGCACCCGACUUUCGUCGAACGGGCAAUCCUCAGUUUUGGCCGGGGAUUCCCUUUCGGUGUCCGGGAGGUCGUAGGUUCGAGUCCUACGCGGCUUG